UGGCUCAGUUGGUUGAGCGUCUGACUUCGGCUCAGGUCAUGAUCUCACGGUUUGUGGGUUCGAGCCCCAU
rnacentral:tRNA from 1 species